rnacentral:sRNA from 1 species
CGGGAAGGAGGUGAGCGGGCGGCUGCUGUACGCGGGCCGGGCCCAAAAGCGCGUGGAGCGGCAGAAUGAACUGAAGCGCAGGUUUGAGCAGAUGAAGCAGGACCGGCUGAGGCGUUACCAGGGUGUGAACUUGUAUGUGAAGAACCUGGACGACUCCAUUGAUGACGACAAACUGAGGAAAGAGUUCUCUCCCUAUGGAGUAAUUACCAGUGCGAAGGUGAUGACAGAGGGUGGCCACAGCAAGGGGUUUGGCUUUGUGUGUUUUUCCUCCCCAGAAGAGGCGACAAAGGCCGUGACAGAGAUGAACGGGCGCAUCGUGGGCACCAAGCCACUCUACGUGGCACUGGCCCAGCGCAAAGAGGAGCGGAAGGCCAUCUUGACCAACCAGUACAUGCAGCGCCUCUCCACCAUGCGGACCCUGAGCAACCCCCUCCUGGGCUCCUUUCAGCAGCCCUCCAGCUACUUCCUGCCUGCCAUGCCCCAGCCAACAUUGGUACUCAGACCACAGGACCCAGUGGGGUAGGAUGCUGUACACCAGGCCGGCCGCUCCUGCCGUGCAAAUGUUCCUCAGCAGCACAUAGCACCUAUCGGGUCCAGGAGCCGGCUGUGCACAUCCCAGGACAGGAGCCCCUGACGGCGUCCAUGCUGGCUGCGGCGCCCCUGCAUGAGCAAAAGCAGAUGAUUGGCCUAGAGACGGAAAGUACAAAGACUAGUAAAAUACAUCCUUGCCCUUAAGGAGCUAAGUACCCAAAACCUGUAAUCCAUCUUGAGUCACCAGAGUACGGUUGCUCAGAAACAGCAGUGGUGCGGUGGAAAGGGCAUUCACCCUGCAAUCCUGACAAGUCACUCCAUCCCUCUGAUCAUGCGUGCCCACCUACCACAUGAGGAUAUCACUUCAUAGACUUGCUGGAAGGGUUCAUUGUGUUAGCCUGUUCCCUGAGCUCUCUUCGUGAUCAAGAAGACUGAUCAGAUAAAUCAAGAGACUUGCCCAAAAUUACCUAGGAAAUCUGUAGCAGCAGCAGAACCAAACUCCGCUCCUUGCUAAAUCUAGAUACCAGGCUAGCUUUUCUAUGGACCCAGAAUUAACCCAUACAAAUGUACAAGCUUUUCCAGACCAGCUGGGGUGAGAUGAAUGAAAAUGGCAGCAACAUCAAUACCUCAGCUUCCUCAGCAACUUCAUCAAGUAAGGCUGCCAUGAGGAAGUGGGCCUAAAGGAGAGUUUUCUAGAACAAAGAAGGGGGCAAAGGAGUGGCUUGAAACUGCAAAAAGUGCAGACAAAAAAAAAAAAAAAGAAUGAAAUCUGGAGAGGAUGUGAGGAGAGGUCUAGCAAAAUGAUUAAAAAUUUGGACUUAGCAUCAAAAUCAAACAGAUCCAUAUUCAAA